rnacentral:rRNA from 1 species
AUUGAACGCUGGCGGCAGGCCUAACACAUGCAAGUCGAGCGGAUGAAGGGAGCUUGCUCCUGGAUUCAGCGGCGGACGGGUGAGUAAUGCCUAGGAAUCUGCCUGGUAGUGGGGGAUAACGUCCGGAAACGGGCGCUAAUACCGCAUACGUCCUGAGGGAGAAAGUGGGGGAUCUUCGGACCUCACGCUAUCAGAUGAGCCUAGGUCGGAUUAGCUAGUUGGUGGGGUAAAGGCCUACCAAGGCGACGAUCCGUAACUGGUCUGAGAGGAUGAUCAGCCACACUGGAACUGAGACACGGUCCCGACUCCUACGGGAGGCAGCAGUGGGGAAUAUUGGACAAUGGGCGAAAGCCUGAUCCAGCCAUGCCGCGUGUGUGAAGAAGGUCUUCGGAUUGUAAAGCACUUUAAGUUGGGAGGAAGGGCAGUAAGUUAAUACCUUGCUGUUUUGACGUUACCAACAGAAUAAGCACCGGCUAACUUCGUG